GACGAACGCUGGCGGCGUGCUUAACACAUGCAAGUCGUACGGUAAGGCCCUUUCGGGGGUACACGAGUGGCGAACGGGUGAGUAACACGUGAGUAACCUGCCCACAACUUUGGGAUAACGCUAGGAAACUGGUGCUAAUACUGGAUAUGUGCUCCUGCUGCAUGGUGGGGGUUGGAAAGCUCCGGCGGUUGUGGAUGGACUCGCGGCCUAUCAGCUUGUUGGUGGGGUAGUGGCCUACCAAGGCGGCGACGGGUAGCCGGCCUGAGAGGGUGACCGGCCACAUUGGGACUGAGAUACGGCCCAGGCUGCUACGGGAGGCAGCAGUGGGGAAUAUUGAACGAUGGGCGCAAGCCUGAUGCAGCAGCGCCGCGUGCGGGAUGACGGUCUUCGGGUUGUAAACCGAUUUCAGCAGUGACGAAGCUUUUUGUGACGGUACCUGCAGAAGAAGCACCGGCUAACUACGUG
rnacentral:rRNA from 1 species